rnacentral:rRNA from 1 species
AGAGUUGAUUCCUGGCUCAGAUUGAACGCUGGCGGCAGGCCUAACACAUGCAAGUCGAACGGUAGCACAGAGGAGCUUGCUCCUUGGGUGACGAGUGGCGGACGGGUGAGUAAUGUCUGGGAAACUGCCCGAUGGAGGGGGAUAACUACUGGAAACGGUAGCUAAUACCGCAUAACGUCGCAAGACCAAAGAGGGGGACCUUCGGGCCUCUUGCCAUCGGAUGUGCCCAGAUGGGAUUAGCUAGUAGGUGGGGUAACGGCUCACCUAGGCGACGAUCCCUAGCUGGUCUGAGAGGAUGACCAGCCACACUGGAACUGAGACACGGUCCAGACUCCUACGGGAGGCAGCAGUGGGGAAUAUUGCACAAUGGGCGCAAGCCUGAUGCAGCCAUGCCGCGUGUAUGAAGAAGGCCUUCGGGUUGUAAAGUACUUUCAGCGAGGAGGAAGGCGUUGUGGUUAAUAACCGCAACGAUUGACGUUACUCGCAGAAGAAGCACCGGCUAACUCCGUGCCAGCCGCCGCGGUAAAAGGG